UGACAUUGGCAUAUGAUUAUA
ensembl:piRNA 21ur-2197 ncRNA